AAUCAACGCUGGCGGCGUGCCUCAGACAUGCAAGUCGAACGCGAAAGUCCCUUCGGGGACAAGUAGAGUGGCGCACGGGUGAGUAACACGUAGGUAAUCUACCUUCGGAUGGGGAAUAACAACCGGAAACGGUUGCUAAUACCGCAUAAUGCAGCGGCACCUAAUGGUGACAGUUGUUAAAGCGGGGGAUCGAAAGACCUCGCGUCUGAAGAGGAGCCUGCGGCGGAUUAGCUAGNGGUAAGGUAAUGCUUACCAAGGCUACGAUCCGUAACCGGCCUGAGAGGGCGGUCGGUCACACUGACACUGACAUACGGGUCAGACUCCUACGGGAGGCA
rnacentral:rRNA from 1 species